rnacentral:rRNA from 1 species
AUGAACGCUGGCGGCGUACCUAAUACAUGCAAGUCGAGCGAACAGACGAGGAGCUUGCUCCUCUGACGUUAGCGGCGGACGGGUGAGUAACACGUGGAUAACCUACCUAUAAGACUGGGAUAACUUCGGGAAACCGGAGCUAAUACCGGAUAAUAUAUUGAACCGCAUGGUUCAAUAGUGAAAGACGGUUUUGCUGUCACUUAUAGAUGGAUCCGCGCCGCAUUAGCUAGUUGGUAAGGUAACGGCUUACCAAGGCAACGAUGCGUAGCCGACCUGAGAGGGUGAUCGGCCACACUGGAACUGAGACACGGUCCAGACUCCUACGGGAGGCAGCAGUAGGGAAUCUUCCGCAAUAGGCGAAAGCCUGACGGAGCAACGCCGCGUGAGUGAUGAAGGUCUUCGGAUCGUAAAACUCUGUUAUUAGGGAAGAACAAAUGUGUAAGUAACUAUGCACGUCUUGACGGUACCUAAUCAGAAAGCCACGGCUAACUACGUGC